AACAGGAAUGUAUCUGCCUCCUUCCAGGAGCUUGAGGAAGAGGAGGAGCUGUCUGAGGAAUCUGAGGAUGAAGAGCUGCAGCUGGAGGAUUUCCCCUGCUGAGAACACUGGACCCCAAAGACUGGAAGAAUCAAGAUCACUAUGCUGUCCUUGGACUGGCUCAUAUGAGGUACAAGGCGACACGAAACAAAUCAAAGCUGCCCACAAGGCAAUGGUGUUGAAGCAUCACCCUGACAAAAGGAAAGCUGCGGGAGAGCAGAUUGUAGAAGGAGAUGGUGACUACUUCACCUGCAUAACUAAAGCUAUAGAAAUUCUGUCAGAUCCUGUAG